CACCAAAGGCGAAGGCAUUGCACUGGGCUGGUACUGACCCUGAGAGACGAAAGCGUGGGGAGCAAAACGGAUUAGAUACCCGUGUAGUCCACGCCGUAAACGAUGGAUACUAGAUGUUCGGGGAUUCGACCCCCUGGGUGUCACAGCUAACGCGUUAAGUAUCCCGCCUGGGAAGUACGGCCGCAAGGCUAAAACUCAAAGGAAUAGACGGGGAUCCGCACAAGCGGUGGAGCGUCUGGUUUAAUUUGAUAGUAAGCAAUGGACCUCACCAAGGUUUGACAUCCUAUGACAACCCUGGAAACAGGGCUUCCUUCGGGCAUAGUGACAGGUGCUGCAUGGUCGUCGUCAGUUCGUGCCGUGAGGUGUUCCGUUAAGUCGGGAAACGAACGAAACCCUCGUCGCAUGUUACAAAUUUCAUGCGAGACUGCCCGGGUCAACCGGGAGGAAGGCGGGGAUGACGUCAGAUCAGCAUGGUCCUUAUACCUUGGGCUACACAGGCGCUACAAUGGCCGGUACAAAGGGUUGCAAAACCGCGAGGUGAAGCUAAUCCCAUAAAGCCGGUCCAAGUUCGGAUUGGAGGCUGCAACUCGCCUCCAUGAAGUUGGAAUCGCUAGUAAUCGUGGAUCAGCCAUACCACGGUGAAUACGUUCCCGGAUCUUGUACUCACCGCCCGUCACACCAAGAGAGUUGGUAGCUCCUGAAGCGUCGCAUUAGCGGCACCACGGAGAGAUCAGCGAUAGGGGUGAAGUCGUAACAAGGUAACC
rnacentral:rRNA from 1 species